rnacentral:rRNA from 1 species
UACAGAGGGUGCGAGCGUUAAUCGGAAUUACUGGGCGUAAAGGGCGCGUAGGCGGCAUGGCAAGUCAGGAGUGAAAGGCCUGGGCUCAACCGAGGAACUGCUUUUGAUACUGCCAAGCUAGAGUGCGGAAGGGGCAACUGGAAUUCCCAGUGUAGCGGUGAAAUGCGUAGAUAUUGGGAAGAACACCUGAGGCGAAGGCGGGUUGCUGGACCGACACUGACGCUGAGGCGCGAAAGCCAGGGGAGCAAACGGG